rnacentral:lncRNA from 1 species
UGAAAUUGGACGUGUCACAAAACAAACCUAAAAUAAAAUUUAAGUAGACGACAAAAAAAAAAUUAAAAAAUUUAAGUAUAUAUGGCCAUGUGUAUGUGUUCUAUGGACUAUGGAGUGUGGGUGGACUUUAGUUUAGUCCCAUUUAUGGGGAUCGGUACAAAUAAGAUGUAGAGCAUGGGAUACAACAAGUGAACGUUCCGGUUUUUGUUAUGGUUCGCCAUAAUAUAGUUUCAAUAUAUUCAUUUCUACGUUUAGAUUCUCACAUAUAACCCUUUUUUGCUUCUAUUCAUACAAAUAACUAAACUUCCAUACACAUUUAAAAAAAAAAAAAAAAAAAAAAUCUGAAAAGAAAAUAUAACCCAUCAAAUUCUGUUGCAAACUAGUUUAGCCUUUCUAGUCUAAAUGUGACUAGUUUGAACUUAUACAUUUUUAUUGAACUUCCUG